CAACUAUUAUACAGCUUUUUAUCAAGAUACGAAAGAAUUUUACUUGAUUUGAGCUAUUCACAUUAAUAGCUUUAAACAAUCAAUAUUUACAGCAAUGGAUGAUAAGGAGAUUGUGUGUACAAUGCAGGGUUAUUUAAUCUGGACUCUUGCCAUAUCUUAAUAUUCACUCAUUUCACUGUUACUUUCACGCAUGCGUAGUUAAUUGUGCUCGGGUGUAAUUGGUAGGAAUACAGAGGUUUAUAGGAAUACAUCACAUGUGCCCCCGAUUUAAUUAAGCCGGUUUUCCAGUUCAAGCGUACUGGCCCCGUACCGAAACGUAUCAAAAACCUUUUAAAUUUCAAAAUUUCGUGAAUGUUGAUUGGUUAGUACUUCCGUAGUACGACAAAAAGUUGACUUGCGACAAUUUCAUUUUGAUACGCGAAUACACCCGGAAGUACGUGUUUAUAAACCUCUUUUCAAUCUGCGCAUGCUCACCAGUACGUUUCGGUGGCUGUGGAAUCCAAAGAGCCUGGAGACGAGGUUGUGUUGCUGAGUUGCUCUCUAUUUUACAACUUGUAGUUAUAUCA